GAGUUUGAUCCUGGCUCAGGACGAACGCUGGCGGCGUGCUUAACACAUGCAAGUUGAACGAGAAUUUUAUGAAUGAUUUCUUCGGGAUGAAUGAUUAAAAGGAAAGUAGCGAACGGGUGAGUAACACGUGAGAAACCUGCCCUAUACAGGGGGAUAGCCUCGGGAAACCGGGAUUAAUACCCCAUGACACUAACAUUUCGCAUGAGAAGUUGGUUAAAGAAUUUCGGUAUAGGAUGGUCUCGCGUCUGAUUAGCUAGAUGGUGAGGUAAUGGCUCACCAUGGCGAUGAUCGGUAGCCGGAUUGAGAGGUUGAACGGCCACACUGGAACUGAGACACGGUCCAGACUCCUACGGGAGGCAGCAGUGGGGAAUUUUGCACAAUGGGGGAAACCCUGAUGCAGCGACGCCGCGUGAACGAUGAAGGCCUUCGGGUUGUAAAGUUCUGUCCUUGGUGAAGAUAAUGACAUUAACCAAGAAGCAAGCCCUGGCUAAAUACGUGCCAGCAGCCGCGGUAAUACGUAUGGGGCAAGCGUUGUCCGGAAUUAUUGGGCGUAAAGGGUGCGUAGGCGGUAAAUUAAGUCUUAAUUCAAAGGCAAUGGCUCAACCAUUGUACGGUUAAGAUACUGACUUACUUGAGUAGGUGAGGGGAAAGUGGAAUUCCAUGUGUAGCGGUGAAAUGCGUAGA
rnacentral:rRNA from 1 species